rnacentral:rRNA from 1 species
GAUGAACGCUGGCGGCGUGCCUAAUACAUGCAAGUCGAGCGAACGGACGAGAAGCUUGCUUUUCUGAUGUUAGCGGCGGACGGGUGAGUAACACGUGGAUAACCUACCUAUAAGACUGGGAUAACUUCGGGAAACCGGAGCUAAUACCGGAUAAUAUUUUGAACCGCAUGGUUCGAAAGUGAAAGACGGUCUUGCUGUCACUUAUAGAUGGAUCCGCGCUGCAUUAGCUAGUUGGUAAGGUAACGGCUUACCAAGGCAACGAUGCAUAGCCGACCUGAGAGGGUGAUCGGCCACACUGGAACUGAGACACGGUCCAGACUCCUACGGGAGGCAGCAGUAGGGAAUCUUCCGCAAUGGGCGAAAGCCUGACGGAGCAGCGCCGCGUGAGUGAUGAAGGUCUUCGGAUCGUAAAACUCUGUUAUUAGGGAAGAACAUAUGUGUAAGUAACUGUGCACAUCUUGACGGUACCUAAUCAGAAAGCCACGGCUAACUACGUG